CCUGAGCGCCUGGAGAAUGAUGUGGAGAGCUCUCAUCAGGGUGCUGACCAUUUCCAGUUGGUUGACACGACACCAAGCCCACCAGACGUGAACCUUCCUUCCCCAGAGCCACGGAGAAGGCGGGACGCUUGGUCUCGCAAGGAGACCAUUGCGUUCAUCGACAUCUGGAAAGNGGGGGACGUCCAGAUUGCUUUGGGGCACCAGUACCGCAACAUGAAGCUCUUUGCCUGGAUUGCCAGGAGCGAGGUUUUGAGCGGGACGCGGAGCAGUGCCGCAGCCGAGCCAAAGAUCUCAAGAGGGGCUACAAAGAGAUCAAGUGUGGGAAUCUNCACUCAGGCCGUGCUCCUAAGACGGUGCCGUACUUUAAGCUCCUCGAGCACUUCCUGUGCCUCCGCAAAGGGAUUGUAUGUGGCAAGGUAUGCGGUGCUGGGGUGGUGGAACGACUAGACAAGAGGCGAAAGCACCUGCCCUUGAGUGCCACACCUGUCUGCAGAAUUACGUGGGAAGCUACCAUUGUCCCUGAGGUACCCAUGGAGGGACUUAAAGCCGAGCUCCCAGAGCAGCAGUACGUUACCCCAUUGUCACAGGGUGUCCCUCCCAAAGACCCCCAGAUAACCCCCAACGACCAAAGUCAAGAGACCCAGAACACACCUAAGGAUAAUGAUGAUGUGCAGAUUAUGGAAGAAGGAAGUGGUAAUAACUCCUGCUUGCCUCCCAAGGAGAUUCUAGCAGAAUCUCAGACUAAAAAUGCUGGGGACAAGCACCAGAAGCUUCCAAUAAGCAGCACAGACCAUAUGUGUUACAGACAGGAGCGUAACUGGAGGCAGUGCUUGGAGUCUCCUUGACAACUGAUGGACUUUUCUUCCUCGUUGCCGUCCUCCUCCAAAAUCAGCACCGACUUCAUGGAUUGUCUCCGGCAUCUGCACCAACAGGGCCUGAGGGCCUUUGAGACCACACGGCGGGAGGAAUGGGCCGAGGACAGACAAGCAAGGCAGCAGGAGAAACAAGAGCGGAGACAGGACCGGGCCACCACCAUGACUGCCGCCAUCGAGAGGUCCCAUUAGACUUUGACAGACCUUAUGAGAAGGCAGACAUCUGCCAUGGAGGCCAUUGUGACGGCCUUCGCUGCCCAGAGUUAUCCCCCUCCUGGUUCAUUUCCAAGGUACAACAUGUACCCAGGUUUCAGCCCUCCGUGGUGUGCUCCACCAUUCAUCCGCUCCCAACUCUGGUAAGAAGCGAGCUACCAUCUUUGCUUGCACUGCUCUCCUGUCCCUGAUAAACCCGGACCACAGAUCCCUACUANAGCACAGAAUGCGGAUUCGUGGCCUGAUCCUGCCAAAGCCCCGCUUGANGCCUUCUCUACCUCUCACACCGACCCAGAAGCUUUUCCUCCUCUGCAAACCUCAAAUUCUGAUGGUACACCAGUUCUCUUCCCCAGCAGUGCCUGGCCGCCUCAGUGUCAGUCUAAGUCGGGGUGUGAGAACAAAGAUUGUGACUAAACAAAUGCUGGGCCACUCUGCCUCGAGGCUUUGAAGUCUGAGCAAUUGUUUUUGUCCUUUGUUUUUCCUUUCCCAAGCAACCCUCUUCCCUUUGGAAUAAAGUUGAUGGAUUUNUCA
ensembl:lncRNA